rnacentral:rRNA from 1 species
UACGGAGGAUGCGAGCGUUAUCCGGAUUUAUUGGGUUUAAAGGGUGCGUAGGCGGACUGGAAAGUCAGCGGUAAAAUCGAGAGGCUCAACCUCGUACCGCCGUUGAAACUGUCGGUCUUGAGUGGGCGAGAAGUAUGCGGAAUGCGUGGUGUAGCGGUGAAAUGCAUAGAUAUCACGCAGAACUCCGAUUGCGAAGGCAGCUCACUGGACUGCAACUGACACUGAGGCUCGAAAGUGUGGGUAUCGAACAGG